CAGCAGCCGCGGGAAUACGAAGGGGGCUAGCGUUGCUCGGAAUGACUGGGCGUAAAGGGCGCGUAGGCGGAUUGCGCAGUCAGAUGUGAAAUUCCUGGGCUUAACCUGGGGGCUGCAUUUGAGACGCGUAGUCUAGAGUGUGAAAGAGGGUCGUGGAAUUCCCAGUGUAGAGGUGAAAUUCGUAGAUAUUGGGAAGAACACCGGUGGCGAAGGCGGCGACCUGGUUCAUAACUGACGCUGAGGCGCGAAAGCGUGGGGAGCAAACAGGAUUAGAUACCCGCGUAGUCCCUGUCUCUUAUAC
rnacentral:rRNA from 1 species